GAUGAACGCUAGCGGCAGGCCUAAUACAUGCAAGACGAACGGUAAGUUGAGUAGCAAUACUUGACCUAGAGUGUCGUACGGGUGCGUAACACGUAUGAAACCUACCCAUAACAGGCAGAUAGCCCCCCGAAAGCGGAAUUAACCCUCCAUAGUAAUAAUGAAUGGCAUCAUUUGGUAAUAAAAAAUACGGUGGAUAGGGAUGGGGAUGAGUCUGAUUAGUUAGAUGGCGGGGUAACGGCCCACCAAGGCGAUGAUCAGUAGGGGAACUGAGAGGUUGAUCCCCCACACUGGCACUGAGAUACGGGCCAGACUCCUACGGGAGGCAGCAGUAGGGAAUAUUGGUCAAUGGAUGGAAGUCUGAACCAGCCAUGCCGCGUGCAGGAAGAAGGCCUUAUGGGUUGUAAACUGCUUUUGCCAGGGGAUAAAAUAGCUGUGCGCAGCGAAUUGCAGGUACCUGGUGAAUAAGCCACGGCCAACUACGUGCCAGCCGCCGCAGUAACAC
rnacentral:rRNA from 1 species